UGGGGAAUAUUGCACAAUGGGCGCAAGCCUGAUGCAGCCAUGCCGCGUGUGUGAAGAAGGCCUUCGGGUUGUAAAGCACUUUCAGCGAGGAGGAAGGUGGUGAGCUUAAUACGCUCAUCAAUUGACGUUACUCGCAGAAGAAGCACCGGCUAACUCCGUGCCAGCAGCCGCGGUAAUACGGAGGGUGCAAGCGUUAAUCGGAAUUACUGGGCGUAAAGCGCACGCAGGCGGUUUGUUAAGUCAGAUGUGAAAUCCCCGGGCUCAACCUGGGAACUGCAUUUGAAACUGGCAAGCUAGAGUCUCGUAGAGGGGGGUAGAAUUCCAGGUGUAGCGGUGAAAUGCGUAGAGAUCUGGAGGAAUACCGGUGGCGAAGGCGGCCCCCUGGACGAAGACUGACGCUCAGGUGCGAAAGCGUGGGGCAGCAAACAGGAUUAGAUACCCUGGUAGUCCACGCUGUAAACGAUGUCGAUUUUGGAGGUUGUGCCCUUGAGGCGUGGCUUCCGGAGCUAGCGCGUUAAAUCGACCGCCUGGGGAGUACGGCCGCAAGGUUAAAACUCAAAGGAAUUGAC
rnacentral:rRNA from 1 species